UUGGAAAUGCAUCUGGCAAUCGUUGCGCCAUCUGAAGGACGAUUGGGGAAAUUGAAGGAAUCUUUAUCAUAGAAGGGAGAAUUUCUAUUUUUGCAGUUAUACGAACUUGUGUGUCACCGGAUUAAUUUGUGACGCGUUUAUGUUGUUGAUAAUUAAUACUUAUGAAGUGCAGAUAUAUUGUUGCAUUAUCAAAAGUCAAUUGCGUGUCGUAGAAAAAUAAUACGACGCAAACGUUAAAGAAAAUACAUUCAAGUGUACAUCAUGGAUGAUCACAAUAUGGAUCAAAAUAUUUUAACAGUUCUUAAACUUCUUAUGAUAGGAGAAUCUAACGUGGGUAAAUCAAGUAUACUUUUAAGGUUCACAGAAGAUGAAUUCUCGGAAAAUAUGCGAAAUACAGUCGGUAUGGACUAUAAAACAAAAUAUAUCACAAUUGAUGAUAGUAUAGUGAAACUUGCUAUUUGGGAUACCGCUGGACAAGAACGAUUUCGUACUCUAACGCCAAGUUAUUAUAGAGAUGGACAAGGAGCUAUUCUAGUAUAUGAUGUUACCGAUAGGAAUACAUUUUUAAAACUUGAUACAUGGCUUAACGAAUUAAAUACAUAUUGCAAUAAAACAGAUAUCGUUAAAAUGAUAGUUGGUAAUAAAAUAGAUCUACCUAAUAGAGAGGUAAGCAACGAAGAAGGUUUACAAUUCGCUAGGAGACAUCAGUCGCUUUAUAUCGAAAGUAGUGCAAAAACUGCAGAUGGAGUUAAGUGUUGCUUUGAGGAACUUGUUCAAAAGAUAUUGCAAACUCCCGGUUUAUGGGAUACUCAAUCGCAAAAAUAUAUCGAUAAUGGCAAUAUAACCGGCGCAAGAUAUCGAAUGGGAAAAAGAGGAUUACAAUUAACGGAUGGUUACGAACCACAGAAUUCAUAUUCGCGUUGUUAUUGUAGUAUGAUUUAAGUGGCUGUGAUAAAGAAAUUCUCUUGGUAAUGAUUAUAAUCAUGAUGCCUAUUGUAUGGUGUACAAAAAAUCGGACGUAGGGUGAGCUAAGAAUGAAAAGCUGGUGCUUUGAACCAUUAAUAAUAAGCUAGCCAAAGCUCUGUUUAUUCAAAUAUUCUAAAUGAACAACGUUUAAUUUAUUUCGAAAUUAUUCAUAAAUAAAUAUUUAUCCUAACACUUAUAUAUCAAUUUUUUAUCACAGACGCUUGAUCACUUUUUAUAGAAUCUCUUGUUUUGUUACAUUUAUACACUUAUAUAAAAUUUAUUAUGUGGGUAAUAUAAACGUAUGUCUAUCUAUUAGAGGAUAAAAUUUCUUUCUUUUAUAA
rnacentral:misc_RNA from 1 species